AUUUUCCAGCUAGAUACAAUAGAGGCAGAGAAGAAAGUGGCUCUUCUGCUCUCAUUGACUGGCCUCACAGAGGGAGAAUUAAUGGUUUUCCUAAGAGACCCUCGUAGAUUAACCAUCGUCAACCAAAAAUUACCACCAAACUUGAGGAAGAUUCAGGAAAAAUUGAAAAAAAAAUAUCAAGGAACCAGAUGUCCCCGAGUCAGAAAUAACCCUCAGAGGGCGCAUUCUUUCUCUUGAACAGCAACUUGAAGAAGCAGAGAAGACCUGGCUGGUUGAAAGGAAUGCGCUUUUACAAGAUCGAACUCUGACAGCCUCUGAAACAAAAGCCCAAUUUGCCAAGGACCAGGCACAUCAUAAACUUUUGGCUGCAAAAAUAGAGGAAGCCCAGCGACAUUUCAAAGAGGCAGUUGCUGAGACUAUGAACAAAACAGCUUACAUUCAAGCACAAGAAAAGAUCUGGCUAGCAGAAAGAGACCAUCUUUUAUCAGUGUUGUCAGCAGUCCAGAAAAAUGUAC